rnacentral:rRNA from 1 species
UGGGGAAUCUUGGACAAUGGGCGCAAGCCUGAUCCAGCCAUGCCGCGUGAGUGAUGAAGGCCUUAGGGUCGUAAAGCUCUUUCGCCAGAGAUGAUAAUGACAGUAUCUGGUAAAGAAACCCCGGCUAACUCCGUGCCAGCAGCCGCGGUAAUACGGAGGGGGUUAGCGUUGUUCGGAAUUACUGGGCGUAAAGCGCGCGUAGGCGGAUUAGUCAGUUAGAGGUGAAAUCCCGGGGCUCAACCCUGGAACUGCCUUUAAUACUGCUAGUCUUGAGUUCGAGAGAGGUGAGUGGAAUUCCGAGUGUAGAGGUGAAAUUCGUAGAUAUUUGGAGGAACACCAGUGGCGAAGGCGGCUCUCUGGCUCGAUACUGACKCUGAGGUGCGAAAGUGUGGGGAGCAAACAGGAUUAGAUACCCUGGUAGUCCACACCGUAAACGAUGAAUKCCAGUCGUCGGGCAGUAUACUGUUCGGUGACACACCUAA